rnacentral:misc_RNA from 1 species
GGAAGUAAAAGUCGUAACAGGGUUUCCGUAGGUGAACCUGCGGAAGGAUCAUUACAGAGUUCAUGCCCUCACGGGUAGAUCUCCCACCCUUGAAUAUUUAUACCUUAGUUGCUUUGGCAGGCCGUGGAAACACCAUGGGCUCCGGCUUAUGCGUGCCUGCCAGAGGAAACAAACUCUGUUUUUAGUGAUGUCUGAGUACUAUAUAAUAGUUAAAACUUUCAACAACGGAUCUCUUGGUUCUG